AUCUGGGCGGCGGAAUUCAAGACGGCUGGCGGGUCUCGCGCUCGUUCGGCCGUUUGAUAUUUCCGUCGCCGUGUCAGACGUCGCGACCUGUUUGUCGUCGGUCCUUGCUCGGAGGAAUUGCGAUCGAGUUCGUUGCGGGCGCGUUUCGGCGUGCUUCGCGGCGAAGACGCGACUCUCUGGCCGACGACGGACAGUAAGCAACGGUGUCUGGCGCCGUGUCUCGCACUCGGCGUCGGUGCCGGUCAGCGACGAUUUCUUCGGGCCUCUUUCCGACCCGUCUUGAAACACGGACCAAGGAGUCUAACAUGCGCGCGAGUCGCGGGGUUUCGAGCGUACCACGGUGCGCUCGUUACUUCCGAAACCCGUACGUUGAAGGCGUAAUGAAAGUGAAUAGGGAAGAUGGCGUUCCGAGACCACGUACCGUGAUCGAGUAUCGCGGCCGGACGUCCGCACUCCCGGGGCGUCUCAAUGGUUCGCCACGGAUGCGGACGAUCGUCUUUCGGGGCGGUGGUCGGUCUGUGGCGGUCCGA
rnacentral:rRNA from 2 species